rnacentral:rRNA from 1 species
CAGUGGGGAAUAUUGCACAAUGGGCGAAAGCCUGAUGCAGCAACGCCGCGUGAGUGAUGAAGGCCUUCGGGUUGUAAAGCUCUGUCUUUUGGGACGAUAAUGACGGUACCAAAGGAGGAAGCCACGGCUAACUACGUGCCAGCAGCCGCGGUAAUACGUAGGUGGCGAGCGUUGUCCGGAUUUACUGGGCGUAAGGGAUGCGUAGGCGGAUUUUUAAGUGAGAUGUGAAAUACCCGGGCUUAACUUGGGUGCUGCAUUUCAAACUGGAAGUCUAGAGUGCGGGAGAGGAGAGUGGAAUUCCUAGUGUAGCGGUGAAAUGCGUAGAGAUUAGGAAGAACACCAGUGGCGAAGGCGACUCUCUGGACCGUAACUGACGCUGAGGCAUGAAAGCGUGGGUAGCAAACAGGAUUAGAUACCCUGGUAGUCCACGCCGUAAACGAUGAGUACUAGGUGUAGGAGGUAUCGACCCCUUCUGUGCCGCAGUUAACACAAUAAGUACUCCGCCUGGGAAGUACGAUCGCAAGAUUAAAACUCAAAGGAAUGGACGG